rnacentral:rRNA from 1 species
AUUGAACGCUGGCGGCAGGCCUAACACAUGCAAGUCGAGCGGAUGAAGGGAGCUUGCUCCUGGAUUCAGCGGCGGACGGGUGAGUAAUGCCUAGGAAUCUGCCUGGUAGUGGGGGAUAACGUCCUGAAACGGGCUCUAAUACCGCAUACGUCCUGAUGGAGAAAGUGGGGGAUCUUCGGACCUCACGCUAUCAUAUGAGCCUAGGUCGGAUUAGCUAGUUGGUGGGGUAAAGGCCUACCAAGGCGACGAUCCGUAACUGGUCUGAGAGGAUGAUCAGUCACACUGGAACUGAGACACGGUCCAGACUCCUACGGGAGGCAGCAGUGGGGAAUAUUAGACAAUGGGCGAAAGCCUGAUCCAGCAAUGCCGCGUGUGUGAAGAAGGUCUUCGGAUUGUAAAGCACUUUAAGUUGGGAGGAAGGGAAGUAAGUUAAUACCUUGCUGUUUUGACGUUACCAACAGAAUAAGCACCGGCUAACUUCGUG